GAUGAACGCUGACAGAAUGCUUAACACAUGCAAGUCUUUGGCGAAGCUGUGCUUGCACCGCCUAGCCAAGGCGGACGGGUGAAUAACGCGUAAGGAACUUGCCCUGCAGUCAGGGAUAACAGACGGAAACGACUGAUAAGACCUGGUAAAGUCAGGCGGACUCAUGUCCAGCCUGAUGAAAAGAGAUGCUGCAGGAGAGCCUUGCGUCCUAUUAGCUUGUUGGUGGGGUAACGGCCCACCAAGGCGAUGAUAGGUAGCCGGCCUGAGAGGGUGGACGGCCACAAGGGGACUGAGAUACGGCCCUUACUCCUACGGGAGGCAGCAGUGGGGAAUAUUGGACAAUGGGGGCAACCCUGAUCCAGCAAUUCUGUGUGCACGAUGAAGGUUUUCGGAUUGUAAAGUGCUUUCAGCAGGGAAGAAAAAAAUGACGGUACCUGCAGAAGAAGCGACGGCUAAAUACGUG
rnacentral:rRNA from 1 species